rnacentral:rRNA from 1 species
UACGUAGGGUGCGAGCGUUGUCCGGAAUUAUUGGGCGUAAAGAGCUUGUAGGCGGUUUGUCGCGUCUGCCGUGAAAAUCCGGGGCUCAACCCCGGACUUGCGGUGGGUACGGGCAGACUAGAGUGUGGUAGGGGAGACUGGAAUUCCUGGUGUAGCGGUGAAAUGCGCAGAUAUCAGGAGGAACACCAAUGGCGAAGGCAGCACUCUGGGACGUGACUGACGCUGAGACGCGAAAGCGUGGGGAGCGAACAGG